rnacentral:rRNA from 1 species
GACGAACGCUGGCGGCGUGCCUAAUACAUGCAAGUAGAACGCUGAAGGAGGAGCUUGCUCUUCUGGAUGAGCUGCGAACGGGUGAGUAACGCGUAGGUAACCUGCCUGGUAGCGGGGGAUAACUAUUGGAAACGAUAGCUAAUACCGCAUAAGAGUAGAUGUUGCAUGACAUUUACUUAAAAGGUGCAAUUGCAUCACUACCAGAUGGACCUGCGUUGUAUUAGCUAGUUGGUGGGGUAACGGCUUACCAAGGCGACGAUACAUAGCCGACCUGAGAGGGUGACCGGCCACACUGGGACUGAGACACGGCCCAGACUCCUACGGGAGGCAGCAGUAGGGAAUCUUCGGCAAUGGACGGAAGUCUGACCGAGCAACGCCGCGUGAGUGAAGAAGGUUUUCGGAUCGUAAAGCUCUGUUGUAAGAGAAGAACGAGUGUGAGAGUGGAAAGUUCACACUGUGACGGUAUCUUACCAGAAAGGGACGGCUAACUACGUG